rnacentral:tRNA from 1 species
UGUGGCUUAGUGGUAGAGUGCUUGCCUAGCAUGCAAGAAGCCCUGAGUUCAAUUCCUCAGUA